rnacentral:rRNA from 1 species
GAUGAACGCUCGCGAUAGGCUUAACACAUGCAAGUCGAGGGGUAACGUGUUGGAAGCUUGCUUCCGAUGACGACGACCGGCGGAUGGGUGCGUAACGCGUAUGCAACUUGCCUCACAGUGGAGAAUAACCCGGAGAAAUCCGGACUAAUACUCCAUACACUCUUAAGUACGCCUGUACAUGAGAGGAAAGAUUUAUCGCUGUGAGAUAGGCAUGCGUCCUAUUAGGUAGUUGGUGAGGUAACGGCUCACCAAGCCGACGAUAGGUAGGGGUGCUGAGAGGCAGAUCCCCCACAUUGGGACUGAGACACGGCCCAAACUCCUACGGGAGGCAGCAGUGAGGAAUAUUGGUCAAUGGAGGAAACUCUGAACCAGCCAAGUCGCGUGAAGGAAGAAUGGCCUAAGGAUUGUAAACUUCUUUAGCGAGCGAGUAAGGACUUCCACGUGAUGGGAGUUUGAAAGUAGCUCGAGAAUAAGUAUCGGCUAACUCCGUG